rnacentral:rRNA from 1 species
UACGUAGGGUGCGAGCGUUAAUCGGAAUUACUGGGCGUAAAGCGUGCGCAGGCGGUUCGUUAAGUUCGAUGUGAAAGCCCCGGGCUCAACCUGGGAACUGCAUUGGAAACUGGCGAGCUUGAGUGUGGCAGAGGAAGGUGGAAUUCCACGUGUAGCGGUGAAAUGCGUAGAGAUGUGGAGGAACACCGAUGGCGAAGGCAGCCUUCUGGGCCAACACUGACGCUCAUGCACGAAAGCGUGGGGAGCAAACAGG